rnacentral:rRNA from 1 species
UACGAGGGGGGCAAAUGUUGUUCGGAAUCACUGGGCGUAAAGGGCGCGUAGGCGGGUUCUUAAGUAAGGUGUUUAAUCCCGGGGCCCAACCCCGGACCGGCACUUUAAACUGGGAAUCUUGAAUAGUGGAGAGGUCAGUGGAAUUGGGGGUGUAGCGGUGGAAUGCGUAGAGAUCCCCAAGAACACCAGUUGCGAAGGCGGCUGACUGGACACAUAUUGACGCUGAGGCUCGAAAGCAUGGGGAGCAAACGGG